CAUGAAGCUGGAAUCGCUAGUAAUCGCGGAUCAGGAUGCCGCGGUGAAUACGUUCCCGGGUCUUGUACACACCGCCCGUCACACCAUGGGAGUCGGAAAUGCCCGAAGCCGGUGACCUAACCUUUCAGGAAGGAGCCGUCGAAGGCAGGUCUGAUAACUGGGGUGAAGUCGUAACAAGGUAGC
rnacentral:rRNA from 1 species